rnacentral:rRNA from 1 species
GAUGAACGCUGGCGGCGUGCCUAACACAUGCAAGUCGAGCGAUCUUCUUCGGAAGAGAGCGGCGGACGGGUGAGUAACGCGUGGGUAACCUGCCCUGUACACACGGAUAACAUACCGAAAGGUAUGCUAAUACGAGAUAAUAUGCUUUUAUCGCAUGGUAGAAGUAUCAAAGCUUUUGCGGUACAGGAUGGACCCGCGUCUGAUUAGCUAGUUGGUAAGGUAACGGCUUACCAAGGCGACGAUCAGUAGCCGACCUGAGAGGGUGAUCGGCCACAUUGGAACUGAGACACGGUCCAAACUCCUACGGGAGGCAGCAGUGGGGAAUAUUGCACAAUGGGCGAAAGCCUGAUGCAGCAACGCCGCGUGAGCGAUGAAGGCC